UGAGAAUGAUGUUCUGCUCCUUGGUGAUGACCCCUGGCCGUAAGUUUCCAGCUCUUUCUGGCAAUUUUCUUUAGGACUUAUUGAUUAUUAUUUUUCUGAAAACGUGGUGGGAUUUUGUCCCAACUUAUACCAGGUAUGUUGUCAUAAAAAAUAUUUUCAAAAUAAAUAGAUCUCUAUGUGCAAUGAUUAUGAGAUUAAUAUCUCUGGAAACUAGAUUUUUUUCAUCAUGUUGGGAAUGCCAUCUGUUUUUAAUUUUCUUUUUUGCCAUUCUCUAUCACUGCUGAUAUGUUCCGUUCUUCAUAAACCAGGGAAUUUGUAAACAGUGUGUGGUGCAUCAAAAUACUCUCACCACAAGAAGUGCAGCAAAUGGGCAAACGUGGCCUAGAGCUUCUGAACUCAGUCCCAAUUCAGAGGCUUUCCAAUGGCAGUUGUGAUGAUUAUGCAAGCCGGCAGGACUCGAGAAAUUUGAGCACCGGUAUAACUUCUGUGGGGUCUUUGGACUACUGAGAAAUUUAACCAGUUGUCCAAAUGUGCUCCGAGCCUUUAACAGUGGGACAUGUAUGAAAGUGUUGGUUGAUGGAAGACGUGAAUCACGUGCACCCCUUUUUUCAUCAAUAUUUCUACAUUUGCUGGACGAUAUUGAACUGGUAAGAAUUCGCUUUUUUCAAGUUGAGCUGUCGUUUUUAGUUUGUGGGACUUGGUGGUGUCAUUGAAAGGCUAUUGUUUAGAGAUGCAUGUGGUGGGUUAGUGAGUGUGGAUAGGGACUUUUUUUGAAGGGUGGAAUGAUGACAAGGCAAAGCACUAUAGAGUAUCAACAAUAAUGCUUACCGAUACAACCCCUUCAAAAGGACAUUCACCUUUGUGUGGGGAAAGAGGUAGGAAUGCCCCUUUUCCCCUUGGCUGCCUUUGUAUUUUAGUGAACUUAUUUUUCCUAAAUGCAUGGCUUGUACCAUUUCUUUAACAUUUAUAAACUUGAAAA
rnacentral:misc_RNA from 1 species